rnacentral:rRNA from 1 species
UUGGUGAGGUAAAGGCUUACCAAGGCGACGAUCAGUAGCUGGUCUGAGAGGACGACCAGCCACACUGGGACUGAGACACGGCCCAGACUCCUACGGGAGGCAGCAGUGGGGAAUUUUGGACAAUGGGGGAAACCCUGAUCCANCCAUGCCGCGUGAGUGAAG